CGACGUCGCGCCCGGCGCCGAAGGGCUCGCCAGGAGCGCCGCCGCCACAGCUCAGCGAAACUCCUAUGCUGUCAUCCCCCGUCUCCUGACACCGGUAGCCUUCGUCGCGAUUUCUCGCCUGCGGGCGGCCUGUGAGAGGUAGUUGGCGUCAGCUGCACGACCUGGGACGCUGCACUGCCAUCAAAAAGCCCAUCACUUCACCGAAGAACAGAAGAGUACUACGCGAACCUCGAAGCAGCUCGAUAGCCUGUCACUCGAAGUUAAUCUGUAUACUGCACACCUUUCAUCGAUAAGCGAAGAAAUUAACUCAGCAAUGACACUGAAUAAAGUUCCUUAAGCGAGCAGUGAAUAAAUA